GUGAAGAUUUUGAACAUCUGUUUUUUAAUUGCUCAGUCACUAACAGAAUUUGGUGCAAGAUUUGUCAUUGGCUGGGAUAUCAUAGAAGACCUGCAUGUUGGGAAGCUGAAUUAACUUGGAUAUGUAGCAAUGCAAGGAGUAAACAAUUCAAAAAAGCUGUGGUAACUACUGCAUUUGUUACGACUGUUUCAUUGAUUUGGAGAGGGAGGAAUGCAUUACGAU
rnacentral:lncRNA from 1 species